rnacentral:lncRNA from 1 species
UGGUGGGGUGCACCACGUAGAGGGCCUUCAAGUUCUUCUUGUACCUGAGGAGGGAAACGGGGGAUGACUUCAGGCUGCCGCGCUCCGAGAAACACCCCACGCCCAAUAACCCUGAAACAGCUGCCUCCACUGUGAGUCUCAGAAUGUUACUCCUCUCAACAGGAUCAAUUUAAGGACAUCAAACAAAGAAUGAAAUAAACUCGGGGAAAAUCAGGACCCCUCACCUGCUGCCCCCGCCAGGCAUGCCUGCAGCGCUUUAGUUCGCCGAGGCACAGCUGCAAGUCGGAGCCCUGUUUAUAGGCGCUCACUCACACCAGGGUCGGGGGUGGCUGGAGCACAUCCUGGGGGCAAUUUGGCAACAGCUCUCAGAAUUAAAACCGCACAGAGCCUCUUGGCCAACACCUGCCCUGCCAGGAGCUGACCUGGGCUAGAAGGAGCUCACCGUGUUGGUUAUGAUGGCAGAUAAACCCGGCAAUAACCUAAACAUCAGCCGGCCAGAGGCCGGUUCAAUGCAAUACAGCCACCCACACAUUGGAACACCCAGUGAACUUCUCUCUCUCCCUCCUUCCCAGUCUCCAUGCUUCCUUCUUGAAUAUUUCAGCCCAAAGCCAUCAGGUUGGGGAAGAAAGGUAGGCAGCCAACCAGGGUGGGGAUGGGGGCAGAGGACAUGCCAGGGCUCUAGAGGGUGAGUGGGGGACGGUGUGUCCUGCUGGGGAGACACAGCCCAGGAGGCGAGAAGGGGCAUCCACAUGGCCUGCGUGGGGUCAGCCUGCAGGACGCCAGAGCCACCUCUUAUCCACUCACACGGGCUGUCAAAAUUUCAGGAAUUUUUGGAAGCCAAUUGUGUAUGUGUGUAGACGUAUGUAAGUCUAAGUGUGUAGGUGUGUGUAGCUCUAUGUAAGUGUAUGUAACUGUAAUUGUAUGUGUGUGUAGGUGUAUGUAGGUGUAAGUGUAUAUAGGUGUGUAUGUAGGUGUGUGUAGGUGUAAGUGUAUGAAAGUGUGUGUAGGUGUACCUACAUAUGUGUAGGUAUACCUAGGGGUGUGUAGGUGUAUUUAGGUGUGUGGGUGUGUGUGUAGGUGUGUGUAGAUAUAAGUAAGCGUAAGUGUGUGUAGGUGUAUGUAGCUGUAAGUGGUGUGUGUGUAGUUGUAUGUAGGUGUAUGUGUAUAUAAGUGUAUAGUAUACGUAGGUGUGUAUAUGUAUGUGUAUGUAGGUGUAAGUGUAUGUACAUGUAGGUGUCUGUAUGUGGGUGUAUGUACUGUAGGUGGGUAUGUGUGUAUGUAGGUGUAAGUGUAUGUACAUGUAGGUGUCUGUAUGUGGGUGUAUGUACUGUAGGUGGGUAUGUGUGUAUGUAGGUGUGUGUAAGUGUAUGUAUAUGUAGGUGUCUGUAUGUAUGUGUAUGCAGGUGUAUGUACUGUAUCCAGGUGUGUAUGUGUGUAUGUAGGGGUGUGUGUGUGUGUGUAAGUGUAUGUAUAUGUACAUUCACACACACAUACCCUAACUCUGUCCACUGAAAGGGCCUGGGAGCCAUAACACCCCAAAAGCAACAAGCACUCCGCUUGUCCAGAUCUUGGUCUCUAAAUAGCAUUCUCCACUACAGGGAGCCAGGGCGACUGUGCUCCUUGGAGAAUGGCAGAUUCCUGAGCUGGAGCAAGAAAAAUACAAGAUAAGCCUGGCAUAUCCUGUGCCAGAAAGUAAAGGAAGCACUCAAAGAGUGAGGGGGAGUGUCAGAAGGACCUGGGAGUCCUUAAAACGGCACCCACAUGGGCAAAUUUGGGACAAUUUGAUCAUUAAAAUGAUAGUAAUGGAUUGUAACUCAAUGAAUAAAAUAGGACAUUUUACACAUGUCCACACUGAGAUAAAUAAGUGAGGAGAAGAAAAAGCUCUUCCCUUCGUCAGAUGCCGAGUGCUCAUCAGACCACCAUUGGCUGCCAUCAUAUGAACAACUAAGCCAAGCAGCAGCAAUGAAAGUGAAAAGUAUUUUGACAAGGAGCAGGAUAUUUAUAUAAUCUCAAAGCAUCUCUCCAAGAAAUGUUAAUUAACUAAUUUUAAAAAGGCUCUGAGAGGAGGGGCGGGGCGGGGGGCAGUAGCAGUGGCUUCCAGAGUCUCCAGGAGCCCAGAGGGCAGCUGCUGCAAGGUUCACCCUGAGACUGAGCUUCCAGUGGCUUCCAUUAGUUGCCACCCAUGGCAGGAGCUCUUUGGUGAGGCAAGCACUCCCAGAAGUGGGGUCAUGAACACUUGCGUGCGAAUUUGUUCACCCCUAAAAGGAAUGACCUGGCAGGACGGUCUGGAGGAUGAGAAGCCAAAGGCAGAGAGAACAGAAAAGAAUGCAGGAAACCUGAUGGGGUGUGGCAAUGGCCGACUGAAAACCCUC